GUGGGAACUGAUGGACGUGGUGGGCCUAAGGUACGGGAUGUCAUAAUGCUAUUUGGGGAAUUCUAGGAGACAAGGAAAGCCUGGGUUUCCUGGUGUUAAAGGACAAAAGGGUCUUAUAGGUCCUAAGGGACAUAAAGGAGACUUGGGAAUGAGAGGACACAUGGGCUCCGUUGGGCCUAGAGGAUUCAGUGGGGCUCUGGGCCCCAAAGGCAGGAAAGGACCACCAGGGCCACAUGGAGGCAAGGGCCAUCAAGGGAGACCAGGCCCAAAAGGCUUGAAAGGCAG